rnacentral:rRNA from 1 species
AUUGAACGCUGGCGGCAGGCCUAACACAUGCAAGUCGAACGAGUGGCGGACGGGUGAGUAAUGUCUGGGAAACUGCCUGAUGGAGGGGGAUAACUACUGGAAACGGUAGCUAAUACCGCAUACCCUCGGAUGUGCCCAGAUGGGAUUCGCUAGAUGGUGGGGUAACGGCUCACCUAGGCGACGAUCCCUAGCUGGUCUGAGAGGAUGAACAGCCACACUGGAACUGAGACACGGUCCAGACUCCUAAGGGAGGCAGCAGUGGGGAAUAUUGCACAAGGGGCGCAAGCCUGAUGCAGCCAUGCCGCGUGUGUGAAGAAGGCCUUCGGGUUGUAAAGCACUUUCAGCGGGGAGGCGUUACCCGCAGAAGAAGCACCUGCUAACUCCGUGCCAGCCGCCGCGGUAAUAC